GGGAAGGAAGCUGACGGAGCCGCGCUCCCAUCCCCGUGGAUUGGCUGAGGGGUUAUGGAGGUUGACUCAAGGGGGCGCUAGACCUGCAGAAUGCUGACACGGCACAGCAAAUAGAGAUGCAUCCUGCUGCUGAAGCACAGAGCUCCGCGCUCCGUCUCUGGGGUGGAUGAGAGGAACGACAAACACCCUGCUGUCUGGAGGAAAGAAUAGAUAGCUGACAUGUAUCUGCCUGGCAUGAGGAGCAGGAGGAGGGACAGGGACGAGGGAGGGAGGAGAGGUAUUAAGGAGGGAGAAAAUGUGAUUUGGCCCUGGCAAUCUUCGUGGGGGCCCCCCUCUGAUGUAUAACCCCCCACCCAUCCGUGACGCCAUGAGACAUUAUAGGGGUUAGGAAAGGCUGUUAUGAUGGUAGUGUCUUGAUAACUAUGGGGGGAGAGGGAUUGAUAGAGGAGGUUCAUGUUACGCUACAUUUUGUUGUGCUAACAAAAAAUGUAGUAUUUUAUCGUUGCACCCUCUGGGGGGAAAAACAAAGAUCAACAGGAACAAUAGUAAAAAAAAAAAAAAA